rnacentral:rRNA from 1 species
CCUUCACCACGGGAUAACCCGGCGAAAGUCGGACUAAUACCGUAUGUUGUCCAUUGACGGCAUCCGAUUUGGACGAAAGGCUUGGCGGUGAGGGAUGGGGAUGCGUCCGAUUAGCCAGACGGCGGGGUAACGGCCCACCGUGGCGACGAUCGGUAGGGGUUCUGAGAGGAAGGUCCCCCACAUUGGAACUGAGACACGGUCCAGACUCCUACGGGAGGCAGCAGUGAGGAAUAUUGGUCAAUGGGCGUAAGCCUGAACCAGCCAAGUAGCGUGCAGGACGACGGCCCUAUGGGUUGUAAACUGCUUUUAUGCGGGGAUAAAGUGGCCCACGUGUGGGUUUUUGCAGGUACCGCAUGAAUAAGGACCGGCUAAUUCCGUGCCAGCAGCCGCGGUAAUACGGAAGGUCCGGGCGUUAUCCGGAUUUAUUGGGUUUAAAGGGAGCGUAGGCCGCGCCUUAAGCGUGUUGUGAAAUCCGGGUGCUCAACAUCCGGCUUGCAGCGCGAACUGGGGCGCUUGAGUGCGCAGAAAGUAGGCGGAAUUCGUGGUGUAGCGGUGAAAUGCUUAGAUAUCACGAGGAACUCCGAUUGCGAAGGCAGCCUACUGUAGCGCUACUGACGCUGAUGCUCGAAAGCGUGGGUAUCGAACAGGAUUAGAUACCCUGGUAGUCCACGCGGUAAACGAUGGAUGCUCGUUGUCGGCCCUUUGGGUCGGUGACCAAGCGAAAGCGUUAAGCAUCCCACCUGGGGAGUACGCCGGCAACGGUGAAACUCAAAGGAAUUGACGGC